rnacentral:lncRNA from 1 species
AAUUUUCUAAGUCCUAUGGUGAAUGUAUGGUAGUGGACAAUAAAUCCUACUAUGUAAGGAUAUGCUAUAAAUAGGACUAUCAUGUACUUUUCAAAGAACUUGGAAUAUAAUCUAAUUUGAGAGAGUUUCUCUUGUGAGAACUUUUGUUUUGUUCUUGUGAUAAGAACAUUGUUCUUGAGAUAAGAACUUUAUAGUGUUGGUUCUGCCGGCAGGUCGCGGUUAGGGUCGCACUUUCUUUGAUAACUUUGGUUCUACCGGCAGGUCGCGGUUAGGGUCAAGUUCCUUUAUAUCUUGAUAACUUUGGUUCUACCGGCAGGUCGCGGUUAGGGUCAAGUUCCUCUUUUACCUGUUUUCAAGACGAUCCUAAACAGUCGCUUAUCAGUUGGUAUCAGAGCUUCGGCUCUUGAAAUCAGGUUUUAUCUAUCCUUUUUUUUUCUUGUUAAAAAAAAAAGAGUUGAAAAAAAAAUAUGGAGGAAGAAAAGCAUGUCUCCAUGAAACAUUUGGAGAAGUUAUUAUUUCAAGAAUUUCAAAAGCUUCAUGAAAAGUUUGAUCGUAUAGAGAGGAAUUAUAGAAACAAUUAUAAAAAAAGAGGAGGAGAAAAGGAGAUAGAAGAUAGAAAAAUGAAAAGUGAGGGACAAACAAAAAAACAUAUUGCAAA